CCUACGGGGGGCUGCAGUGGGGAAUAUUGGACAAUGGGGGGAACCCUGAUCCAGCCAUGCCGCGUGUGUGAAGAAGGCCCUCGGGUUGUAAAGCACUUUCAGUGAGGAAGAACGCCUGGUGGUUAAUACCCAUCAGGAAAGACAUCACUCACAGAAGAAGCACCGGCUAACUCCGUGCCAGCAGCCGCGGUAAUACGGAGGGUGCGAGCGUUAAUCGGAAUUACUGGGCGUAAAGCGCGCGUAGGUGGCUUGAUAAGCCGGUUGUGAAAGCCCCGGGCUCAACCUGGGAACGGCAUCCGGAACUGUCAAGCUAGAGUGCAGGAGAGGAAGGUAGAAUUCCCAGUGUAGCGGUGAAAUGCGUAGAGAUCGGGAGGAAUACCAGUGGCGAAGGCGGCCUUCUGGACUGACACUGACACUGAGGUGCGAAAGCGUGGGUAGCAAACAGGAUUAGAUACCCGGGUAGUC
rnacentral:rRNA from 1 species